rnacentral:lncRNA from 1 species
UGGAUGAUAAUUGGAACUGAUCAACCAUUUCAUGAGCUAUCGAAUUAAUUGUCCCUGCCACUAAAAUUAAUGGAAAGAGAUUCCAUGAGGGCAUCUAGUCUGUCACCCUGAAUCUGAGCUCUGUUUCAUCUCACCCAUCCAUACAGGGCAAGGCAAGAUUGAGGCAAAACUCCGGUACCACAGUUUUGGAGUCUCAACCUCAGGACCUUCGCUCCGGUCACUCUCGAGUCCUCAGAGCAAAAGGCAACCUCCAAAGUUCUAUCUCCCACAAGCCCCUUCACUCCUCCAACUGCCACCCUUGUCCCUCCUCCCAACAUUCCAAAAUGGUUCCUCUGUGCCAGUUUCCUUCCUACAAAGUCUAGGGCAAGGAAAGAUUUUCAGUUGUAAAGAGGCUAAUACUGGCCCAGGAAAUAAACCAGACUGGCUAAGUCCAAAUGCCUUUGAAAGUACUUAUUUCUG